rnacentral:tRNA from 1 species
CAACCCUUCCUAUACUA